rnacentral:lncRNA from 10 species
UUUCCCUCUGCUGUCUCCUGAAUUACAUUUGUUUUUCCACAAAAGAAAAAGAAAGAAAGAAAGAAAGAAAGAGAAGGAUUCUUCUGCCUUUGGAUGAGUGUUCACAAAUUGUAAAAACUUCCAUGAAGCAUGAACAAGAGGUAUCAAUGUUUCACCUUGGAACAGGGAACCAAAAUAGUACAUAAAGCUCUAUUAUCACAUGAUCCAGCAACCUCACUACUGGGUGAUUGCCCAAAGGAAAAGAAAUCAUUAUAUCAAAAAGAUCCCUGCACACGUGUUUAUCACAGCACCAUUCACAAGAGCAAAGAUAUGAAAUCAACCUCAGUGUCCAUCAGUGGAUGAUUGGAUAAAUCGAAUGUGGUAUAUAUACACAAUGGAACACUACACAGCCAUACAAAAUAAAAUCAUGUAUUUUGCAGCAACAUGGCUAGAACGGGAGGCCAUUAUCUUAAGUGAAAUAACUCAGAAACAGAAAGUCAAAUACUGCAUGCUUUCACUAAUAAGUGGGAGAUAAAUAAUGUGUCCACAUGGACAUCCAGCGUGGAAUAAUAGACAUUGGAGACUCAGAAGGGCAGGAGGCUGAGGGGGUGAGGGAUGAGAAAUUAUUUAAUGGGUACAAUGUACACUAUUCAGGUGAUAGAUACAUUAAAAGCCCAAACUUUACCACUAUGCAAUAUAUCCAUGUAACUGCACUUGUAUCCCUUAAAUUUAUACAAAUAAAAAAAAUAAGCUUCUACAUAUACUUUGCACCAACCCAUUGUAUUUUACUUCCCAUCAGUAGAAAUACAAUUCUCUCUUUUACUUGAGGUAAAAAAAAAAAAAAAAAAUUCGUUGUUGUUAUUGUUUGUUUUGUUUUGUUUCUACGAUGAGAAAUACCAGUUCAUG